rnacentral:rRNA from 1 species
GCAAGUCUACUUGAAACUACCGCUUGCGGUAGCGGAUGGUGGCGAACGGGUGAGUAACGCGUAGACAACCUACCAUUUAAUUUGGGAUAAUUCACUGAAAAGAGGACUAAUACCAAAUGUGUUCUUAUGAUGGCAUCAUCUUAAGAAAAAAGAUUACGGUCGUUAAAUGAUGGGUCUGCGUAUCAUUAGUUAGUUGGUAAGGUAACGGCUUACCAAGACAUCGAUGAUUAGCUGGUCUGAGAGGAUGAUC